rnacentral:rRNA from 2 species
GAUGUAACGGGGCUAAACCAUGCACCGAAGCUGCGGCAGCGACACUGUGUGUUGUUGGGUAGGGGAGCGUUCUGUAAGCCUGUGAAGGUGUGUCGUGAGGCAUGCUGGAGGUAUCAGAAGUGCGAAUGCUGACAUAAGUAACGAUAAAGCGGGUGAAAAGCCCGCUCGCCGGAAGACCAAGGGUUCCUGUCCAACGUUAAUCGGGGCAGGGUGAGUCGACCCCUAAGGCGAGGCCGAAAGGCGUAGUCGAUGGGAAACGGGUUAAUAUUCCCGUACUUGGUGUUACUGCGAAGGGGGGACGGAGAAGGCUAUGUUGGCCGGGCGACGGUUGUCCCGGUUUAAGCGUGUAGGUGUGUGUUCCAGGUAAAUCCGGUUCACUUUAACACUGAGGCGUGACGACGAGGCACUACGGUGCUGAAGCAACAAAUGCCCUGCUUCCAGGAAAAGCCUCUAAGCAUCAGGUAACAUCAAAUCGUACCCCAAACCGACACAGGUGGUCAGGUAGAGAAUACCAAGGCGCUUGAGAGAACUCGGGUGAAGGAACUAGGCAAAAUGGUGCCGUAACUUCGGGAGAAGGCACGCUGACACGUAGGUGAAGUGAUUUACUCAUGGAGCUGAAGUCAGUCGAAGAUACCAGCUGGCUGCAACUGUUUAUUAAAAACACAGCACUGUGCAAACACGAAAGUGGACGUAUACGGUGUGACGCCUGCCCGGUGCCGGAAGGUUAAUUGAUGGGGUCAGCGCAAGCGAAGCUCCUGAUCGAAGCCCCGGUAAACGGCGGCCGUAACUAUAACGGUCCUAAGGUAGCGAAAUUCCUUGUCGGGUAAGUUCCGACCUGCACGAAUGGCGUAAUGAUGGCCAGGCUGUCUCCACCCGAGACUCAGUGAAAUUGAACUCGCUGUGAAGAUGCAGUGUACCCGCGGCAAGACGGAAAGACCCCGUGAACCUUUACUAUAGCUUGACACUGAACAUUGAGCCUUGAUGUGUAGGAUAGGUGGGAGGCUUUGAAGUGUGGACGCCAGUCUGCAUGGAGCCGACCUUGAAAUACCACCCUUUAAUGUUUGAUGUUCUAACGUGGACCCGUUACCCGGGUUGCGGACAGUGUCUGGUGGGUAGUUUGACUGGGGCGGUCUCCUCC